rnacentral:misc_RNA from 1 species
GGGAAUUUUACUUUUGAAUUAAUAGUAAAUUAUGAUAGAGACAGUUUGGAAGUUUGGAGGUUGAGAGGAAACUAUAGUAUGGAAUUGAUACACAUUCAUGGUACAUUGGUGGUCCUUUUGUAUUGAACUGAAACAUAGAAAGUUGCCAUGAAGAUAUUCUAUUUUAAUUUUUGCAGCAAUAAAAAUUGUUAUUUAGGAACUUUCUACAUUUUGUCAUUUUUGGUUUUGUUUAUAGUCAUGGACCUAGACGGCAACAAAUCAAUCAUCAAAAUUUGUCAAUGGUUCUUGAAAAUUCAUAGUCAGGUUCUACAUUUUUUUAUUUGAAGAAGGUUGACAUUCUGUUGCAAAAGCUUUCAUUAGUUUCCUAUUUUGUAGGAAGGCGUAAUUUUAUAUUUUGAAGUUGUUGUCCUUAUGCCAAUCAGGCUUAAUUUAGUUGGUCUUCUUGUACACUUUAAAAAGGGUGGGAAUUGGGUCUCCCAAGUUUGAGUCUUCCUAUCCACUGAUGUAGUGGAAGUUUUGACCAUUAUGGUGAGUUGUUAUGAAAAAAG